CGGCUCAGUAACACGUGGACAAUCUGCUCUUAGGUGGGGGAUAACCUCGGGAAACUGAGGAUAAUACCCCAUAGGUGAGAAGCUCUGGAAUGAAUCUUGCUUAAAUGCGCCAGCCUGUUCCGGCUGGUUGUGCCUAAGAAGGAGUCUGCGGCGGAUUAGGUUGAUGUUAGGGUAAUGGCCUAACAUGCCCACGAUCUGUAUCGGCUAUGAGAGUAGGAGCCGGGAGAUGGAUACUGAGACAAAGAUCCAGGCCCUACGGGGCGCAGCAGGCGCGAAAUCUUCGCAAUGUGCUAACGCACGACGAGGGAACCCCAAGUACCCUUGUACAACAAGGGUUUUUGCGGAGUGUAAAAAGCUCCGAGAAUAAGGGCUGGGUAAGGCUGGUGUCAGCCUCCGCGGUAAAACCAGCAGCUCUAGUGGUACUCGCGUUUAUUGGGCUUAAAGCGUACGUAGUCGGUUCGGCAAGUUCCCUGUGAAAUCCUGUGACUUAAUUACGGGGCCUGCAGGGAAUACUACCGGGCUAGGAACCGGGAUGGGACAGGGGUAUUCCUUGGGUAGCGGUGAAAUGCUAUAAUCCAAGGAGGACCACCAAUAGCGAAGGCACCUGUCUGGAACGGGUUCGACGAUGAGGGACGAAAGCUAGGGGAGCAAACUGGAUUAGAUACCCAGGUAGUCCUAGCC
rnacentral:rRNA from 1 species